GCCGGGCGCGGUGGCGCCUGCCUGUAGUCCCAGCUACUCGGGAGGCUGAGGUGGGGGGAUCGCUUGAGCCCAGGAGUUCUGGGCUGUAGUGCGCUAUGCCGAUGGGGUGUCCGCACUAAGUUCGGCAUCAAUAUGGUGACCUUCCGGGAGCGGGGGACUACCAGGUUGCCUAAGGAGGGCGAAAACGGAGCAGGUAAAAACUCCCGUGCUGAUCAGUAGUGGGAUCGCGCCUGUGAAUAGCCACCGCCCUCCAGCCUGGGCAACAUACCGAGACCCCGGUCUCU
rnacentral:SRP_RNA from 1 species